UUUCCGUAGGUGAACCUGCGGAAGGAUCAUUAUCGUACAAAAUGUGAGGGGCAUGUGAGGGCUGUCGCUGACCCAAGAGUCGUGCACGCCCGAGUGUGUCCUCUUGCAUAAUAAUCCAUCUCACCCUUUGUGCAUCACCGCGUGGGCACCCUUCGGGAUCAUCUCGGAGGGGGGCUCGCGUUUUCACACAAACCCCCCCUUUUAAAAGUGUAGAAUGACCACAUUUAUGCAAUCAAUACAACUUUCAACAACGGAUCUCUUGGCUCUC
rnacentral:misc_RNA from 1 species